rnacentral:rRNA from 1 species
GAUGAACGCUGGCGGCGUGCCUAAUACAUGCAAGUCGAGCGAACAGAUGAGGAGCUUGCUCCUCUGACGUUAGCGGCGGACGGGUGAGUAACACGUGGAUAACCUACCCAUAAGACUGGGAUAACUUCGGGAAACCGGAGCUAAUACCGGAUAAUAUAUUGAACCGCAUGGUUCAAUAGUGAAAGACGGUUUUGCUGUCACUUAUAGAUGGAUCCGCGCCGCAUUAGCUAGUUGGUAAGGUAACGGCUUACCAAGGCAACGAUGCGUAGCCGACCUGAGAGGGUGAUCGGCCACACUGGAACUGAGACACGGUCCAGACUCCUACGGGAGGCAGCAGUAGGGAAUCUUCCGCAAUGGGCGAAAGCCUGACGGAGCAACGCCGCGUGAGUGAUGAAGGUCUUCGGAUCGUAAAACUCUGUUAUUAGGGAAGAACAAAUGUGUAAGUAACUAUGCACGUCUUGACGGUACCUAAUCAGAAAGCCACGGCUAACUACGUG